UUCAGACGGGGGGACCCUGACCGCAAUGCCGCGUGAGUGAAGAAGGCCUUCGGGUUGUAAAGCUCUUUUGUCAGGGAAGAAACACCGGCUCUAACACAGUCCGGGAAUGACGGUACCUGAAGAAUAAGCACCGGCUAACUACGUGCCAGCAGCCGCGGUAAUACGUAGGGUGCAAGCGUUAAUCGGAAUUACUGGGCGUAAAGCGUGCGCAGGCGGUUAUACAAGACAGGCGUGAAAUCCCCGGGCUUAACCUGGGAAUGGCGCCUGUGACUGUAUAGCUAGAGUGUGUCAGAGGGGGGUAGAAUUCCACGUGUAGCAGUGAAAUGCGUAGAUAUGUGGAGGAAUACCAAUGGCGAAGGCAGCCCCCUGGGAUAACACUGACGCUCAUGCACGAAA
rnacentral:rRNA from 1 species